rnacentral:rRNA from 1 species
AACGGCUACCACAUCCAAGGAAGGCAGCAGGCGCGCAAAUUACCCAAUCCUGAUACAGGGAGGUAGUGACAAUAAAUAACAAUACAUGGUAUCUAUUACCGUGUAAUUGGAAUGAGUACAAUGUAAACACCUUAACAAGGAACAAUUGGAGGGCAAGUCUGGUGCCAGCAGCCGCGGUAAUUCCAGCUCCAAUAGCGUAUAUUAAAGUUGUUGCAGUUAAAAAGCUCGUAGUUGAAUUUCUGAGGUGUCCAAUGGUGAAGACUUAUGUUUUCUACUGUUAAGACACCUCUCUUAUCCAUAGUUUGCACAUAUGCUUAACUGUGUGUGUGUAGAUUGUGGAGCAUUUACUUUGAAAAAAUUAGAGUGUUCAAAGCAAACAGUUGUUUGAAUAUGUUAGCAUGGAAUAAUAACAUAGGACAUCAGUUCUAUUUUGUUGGUUUAUAGGACUGGGGUAAUGAUUAAUAGGGAUAGUUGGGGGCAUUAGUAUUUAAUUGUCAGAGGUGAAAUUCUUGGAUUUAUGAAAGACUAACUUCUGCGAAAGCAUUUGCCAAGGAUGUUUUCAUUAAUCAAGAACGAAAGUUAGGGGGUCGAAGACGAUCAGAUACCGUCGUAGUCUUAACCAUAAACUAUGCCGACUGGGGAUUGGACAGCGUUAUUAUUAUGACCUGUUCAGCACCCUAUGGGA